rnacentral:rRNA from 1 species
CCCAAGAGAUCGGGAUAACACCUGGAAACAGAUGCUAAUACCGGAUAACAACAGAUGAUGCCUAUCAACUGUUUAAAAGAUGGUUCUGCUAUCACUCUUGGAUGGACCUGCGGUGCAUUAGCUAGUUGGUAGGGUAACGGCCUACCAAGGCGAUGAUGNAUAGCCGAGUUGAGAGACUGAUCGGCCACAUUGGGACUGAGACACGGCCCAAACUCCUACGGGAGGCAGCAGCG